UUUUUUUUUUUUUUUCCCAUCCCACUGGAAGUCCUAAAAAUCUAUUAAUUACCAGAGCACUAUCUCCAUCAGGAAAGUAAUGGGUCAAGUUGGAGAGAAUUUUUAACAGCACCUAUUCUAUUUUUGAAGCUUGAUAAUAAUUAAGAUCUUUUUAUAUGGGUGCUAUUUGAAUCUUAGCACCGAUGAGACCAUGUUAGCUACUUUCUGUAAAUGCUGUUGAGAAGGACCCGUAUGAGUAUUUUUUUUUUCUUUUUUUUUUUUUUGUGAAAGUUCCCAGGCUAGGGGGUUGAAUCAGAGCUGUAGCUGCCGGCCUAUACCACAGUCACAGCAAUGCCAGAUCUGAGCCGAGUCUGUGACCUAUACCACAGCUUACUGCAAUGCCGGAUCUUUCACCCACUAAGCGAGGCCAGGGGUUGAACCUGCAUCCUCAUGGAUAUUAGCUGGGCUUGUUAACCACUGAGUCAAGACAGGAAUUCCUAAUUCUAUACUUGGCUGUACGUCAACUCACCUAAGAAGCUUUUUAAAAAUACAAAUUCAGUCCCACUCUUGGGCAUAUAUCUGGACAAAACUUUCCUUGAAAAAGACACAUGCACCUGUAUGUUCACUGCAGCACUGUUCACAAUAGCCAAGACAUGGAAACAACCUAAAUGUCCAUCGACAGAUGGAUGCAUUAAGAAGACGUGGUAUAUAUACCCAACGGAAUACUACUCAGCCAUUAAAAAGAACAAAAUAAUGCCAUUUGAAGCAACAUGGAUGGAACUAGAGACUCUCAUACUAAGUGAAGUAAGUCAGAAAGACAAAUACCAUAUGAUAUCACUUAUAGCUGGAAUCUAAUAUGCAGCACACAUGAACCUUUCCACAGAAAAGAAAAUCAUAGCCUUGGAGAAAAGACUUGUGGUUGCCAAGGGGGAGGGGGAGGGAGUGGGAUGGAUUGGGAAUUUGGGGUUCAUAGAUGCAAAGUAUAGCCUUUGGAAUGGAUUAGCAAUGAGAUCCUGCUGUAUAGCACUUGGAACUGUAGCUAGUCACUUAUGAUGCAGCACGAUAAUGUGAGAAAAAAGAAUGUACAUACGUAUGUGUGCCUGGGUCACCUUGCUAUACAGUAGAAAAUUGAUGGAACACUGUAAACCAGCUAUAAUGGAAAAAAAUAAAAAUCAUUAUAAAAAAAUACAAAUUCACAAUUCUCAUCUUCAGAGAUGCUGAAUCAGUAUAUCAAAGGCAAGGUGCAGUAAUCAAGACUUUGAAGAAAGCACUUUGCUAUUCAGAUAUAUGGACUAGCUUGGGAGGCUAUGUAGUGGGGAACACGACGGAACCAGGUAAGGAAACUCUGCAAUGCCUUUACUUGUGUGAAAAGAACUUGUCUCACAGGUGGAUAUCACAAAGCAACUUUAUGUUUGACAAUCUUUUUAGUAGAGCCCAAUUUGGAGUUUUAUUUAUUUAUUUAUUUUUUUAAUUUGCUAAGUAGAAUUCUUCAGGUUUUAGGCCUGUACUAAGUUCCUGUGACCAUUGGUGGAACUGUCACCAAGAGAUCCUGCAACUAUGUACAGGGACCAAUUCCAGAGUUUUUUACAUCUUCACAUGUACACAGGAUGAGGUUAGAUUGUCAUCCCAAUCUCCUGUAGUUGUCUAAUUUUUAUUUAUUUAUUUAUUUUUGUCUUUUUGCCAUUUCUUGGGCUGCUUCCAUGGCAUAUGGAGGUUCCCAGGCUAAGGGUCUAAUCGGAGCUGUAGCCGUCGGCCUACACCAGAGCCACAGCGACACAGGAUCCGAGCCACGUCUGCAACCUACUCCACAGCUCAUGGCAACGCUGAUCCUUAACCCACUGAGCAAGGCCAGGGAUCGAACCCGAAACUUCAUGGUUCCUAGUCGGAUUCGUUAGCCACUGAGCCAUGACGGGAACGUCUNUAAUUUUUAAAAUCUGGACAAAUAGACCGAAGAGGAAUGUGAACUUUCUGCCAGAGGAAAGAAUUCUAAGAAAGUUUUAUGGAGGGUUGAGAGAUGGAGGUCAAAUCCAACUUGUACUCAGGAGCUAUUUCUAUCCUGAAGAUCCACUAUGGUGGAUAGCAUUUUCAUUCUUAAAGACUUCCAUGGAGAAGAGAAUACAGUCUUUCUUGGACCUUCCUUUUAGGCAAUUAUCAUAAUCAGUAAAAACCCAAUAAGUGCCUAGCUCUAUGUGAGGCAUUUGGGAAGUCAAUAACAGAAGAGGCACAUUCUAGCAGUUUUCUUUUGGUGCAAUGGGUUAAGGCUUUGACAUGGUCAGUGCAGCGGCUUGGGUUGCUGCUGAGGUGUGGGUUCGAUCCCUGGCCGGGGAAUCUCCACAUGCUGUAGGAACAGCCAAAAAAAGAGGCACAGUCUGCCCAAGAAGCACUUGCAAUGAGGUCACCUAGUCUUAACUAUAACUCUAUCAUCUGCAAUAGUUGCUAAUUUUAACAACUCCUUCAUCUGUUAUUCCUCUUUUAAGACCCAAGUCAAAUCAUAUUUCUACCAGAGAACUUACCAGAUUUCAUCCCACAUCCCAAUAAAAACCUACUUAUCUCUAUUCUUCACAACAGGUAUCAUAUUACCUAGCAUCAGAGUGAUUCACUUACGUUUCUUUUCCCCAGGAGAUCUGUGAUUUCCUUUAGGGAACAGAGCAUGUCUCACUCAGAAUCUACAUGUUGACAAGGCAUGGCUAAGAAUUAUAUAUAUAUAUGGUACCACCUUGGACUAAUUCAGUCAUUUAUCCAUCCAAGGUAUUUGGUCCCUGACCAAAGGACAGAGACUGCAGGAAAAUGUGUGAAGUGUGGCAUAGUCUUUUUGCUAUUUCUUUGGGCCACUUCUG
rnacentral:lncRNA from 1 species